CCACCCCUUCCCAUCCCGAACAGGACCGUGAAACGACUUCGCGCCGAUGAUAGUGCUGCAACCAGUGUGAAAGUAGGUCAUCGUCAGGC
rnacentral:rRNA from 3 species